UACGUAGGGUGCAAGCGUUAAUCGGAAUACUGGGCGUAAAGCGUGCGCAGGCGGUUUUGUAAGUCUGUCGUGAAAUCCCCGGGCUCAACCUGGGAACUGCAUUUGUGACUGCAUGGCUGGAGUGCGGCAGAGGGGGAUGGAAUUCCGCGUGUAGCAGUGAAAUGCGUAGAUAUGCGGAGGAACACCGAUGGCGAAGGCAAUCCCCUGGGCCUGCACUGACGCUCAUGCACGAAAGCGUGGGGAGCAAACAGG
rnacentral:rRNA from 1 species